rnacentral:lncRNA from 1 species
CCUUUACUUGUUGAGAAUUGACCUUAAUCUUUUGAAGUUAAAGUCCCAAACUUAUAAUUCUGCCUCACUUGAAAAAUAUUUUUAGUGAUCUUAUCAUUUCUAAUUGAAAACCUCUGCUCCCAAGCCUGUAGCUUAUUGAUAAAUUCAACACCAGUAAGCUUCUCAAGAUCGCAUAUUUCUUCGAUCACAGACAGCUUCGAUUCAAACUUUUCAAUGUGUUAAAUUUAAUGAUUUUUUAUCUGUUUAGUUUCAAAUUUGAAUUCAAAUCAACCAUGAAAUUGUUUCACGGUAGGAUACGUAAACACCAUGCAACGUGUAUGCAUGGAUUUCGGGCUUUUUGAUUUUAUCGUUUGAUUUGAUGUAAUCUGU